UACGAAGGGUGCAAGCGUUAUUCGGAAUUACUGGGCGUAAAGGGUGCGUAGGCGGUUCGUUAAGUCUGUCGUGAAAUCCCCGGGCUCAACCUGGGAAUGGCGAUGGAUACUGGCGAGCUAGAGUGUGUCAGAGGAUGGUGGAAUUCCCGGUGUAGCGGUGAAAUGCGUAGAGAUCGGGAGGAACAUCAGUGGCGAAGGCGGCCAUCUGGGACAUCACUGACGCUGAGGCACGAAAGCUAGGGGAGCAAACAGG
rnacentral:rRNA from 1 species